rnacentral:lncRNA from 1 species
AGCAUUCAAUUUACCUUAAACAAUAAUAUUGUCUAAAUCAUUAAUUAUUGUUUUAUUAUUUAAAUUUUAGAAAACCCAGAGCUUAACGAUAGAGAUAAAAAAGCAGUUAAAAUACAGGAAAUAAAAUCUAAUUUGGAGCCUGACGCCCAUGUUGAUUCGUUGCCAUUAGAACCGCAUUCUUUUGCAUCUUUGGAAAAUGUACAAAUAAUCAGUAUUGAUGAAUUUUAAAAUUGCCAUGAUGAUAACGUAUCUGAAAAUUAACUGCUGGCACUUGGCAUUGAAAUGGAAGUGGAUGUCAUGCCUUUAGAGAAUGUUGAACAUUUUAAUAAGGAACCUGUUUGAUGGCCAAGUUGAAUUAAAUAUUGAAGAAGGGCAAGGCCAUGCCGGUGAUCAUUCGUCAGAUGAAGACUACAUACCAAGUACCCCAACCAGUAGCCGUUCAUCGUUAUCACCAUCGCCUUUAUACCAGGAACCAAGUACCUCAGCGUCAUCUAAUUUGAGAAAGGUAACAAAUGCAACAAAACUUAAACAGAGUGGUCGUAAACGGGUACGCAAUAUAAACAAAUGGCUAUCAACAAUUCGAAAAGAAUGUUAUGCCUCUGCAAAAGCAUACAAAAGCAAGAAGGGAAAGGAAGUCAAAGCAAGAGAAAUGAAGCCACCAUGUAAAUGCAGAAUGAAGUGUUUCGAAAAAAUUUCUGAGGAAGAAAGAAAAAAUAUAUUUGAAACUUAUUGGAGCAAAGAAAAGACAAUUUGUGCGGUCAUCUAUAGAGAUUUGUAGUACGAAACGUAACAGAAGAAGAGAUGAUAUUCGUAUGAAAAACAAUACUCUGCUUUAUUACUUAACAGUAAAACAAGUCAGGGUAAAGGUAUGCAAAGUAAUGUUUUUAAAUACCAUAGGAAUAUCGAAUACGGUUGUAGAAAACACACUUAAAAAAUCACAAGAUGGAGGUUUAGUUGAAGAGAAACAAACGUGGAAGACAUACCCCUUCAAACAAACCCCCAGAAAUUGUGCGCUCUAGUGUAAAGGAACACAUUUGCAGCAUACUUGCCUAUGAAAGUCACUACUCUAGGGCAAGAACAACUAAGAAACAUUUAGGCCCUGACCUGAACAUAGAAAAAUUGUAUAAAAACUAUUUGGAAUGGUGUGAGGAUUAAGGUCUUGAAAAGGGACUAGUUGCAAAGAAAUGGGUCUACUAUGAUAUUUUCAAUAAAGAUUUUAAUUUGUCAUUUAAGGCACCAGAAGUAGAUACGUGUGAUACUUGCGACCAAUUCGUUGCAAAAAUCAAGUCCACAACAUCAGACUUAGAAAAAGCAGAUAUUUUGAAAAUACAGUUUGAUAAUCAUCAAAAAGAAUCAACUACCCGAUAUGCGCUUAAACAUGAGAAUAUCGAAAUCUCAAAAAAUAACCCAACACUUAAAGUUUUAACCGUUGACUUACAAAAGUGCCUACCGACGCCACUAUUAACCUGUGGUACCAGCUUUUAUAAAAGAAAGCUUUGGACCUUAAAUUUUACUAUUUAUGACGCAACGACGGGACAAGCUCACAAUAUGAUGUGGGAUGAAAGCAAACCGCUGGUCGAGGGGGAAAUGAGAUUGCAUCAGCUUUGAUUAAGUGGGUACCUUCUAAUAUUAAGGACAGUAAUAUUGAAGAACUGACUAUUUGGUCAGAUAACUGUUACGGACAAAACAAAAAUAUGGCAAUUAUUGCUGCUCUGUUCUGGAUUUUAGUCAAAUACCCUCAACUCAAGGUUAUAAAUCAAAAAUUUCUCUUAAAAGGCCAUACACACAUGGAAGCAGAUACCGUCCACGCUUUGAUUGAAAGAAAAAGGAAACACUUAACACGCUUAGAAAUUAUGACUCCUUGGGAUUGGCAACAAUUUAUAAGGCAGGUUCAUAGUAAGUAUGUUGUACAUAACAUGGAAAUACAAGACUUCCUAAACUUUAAGGAGCUAUACAAAAAUCCGAAAACAUCUCCAUUUAAUUGUCGAAAAGUCGACAGUGAAAAACAGCCUGUACUAAUUUCAAAUGCUGUUCAACUACAGGUAAGACAGGAAGAGAUUGGAAUGUUGUAUUUUAAAACAGAAUUUGAUGGAAAUUUUAAAAUGGUCAACCUGAAGAGAUAUGUAAGGAGUCCAAACAUUACUCAGCCAAAUUGCAAAUCAACAUUGCCAGAUAAACUUAAUGUGCUUAGCGAGACAGGAAAACCAAUCACCGAGCAGAAGUAUCAAGACUUAUUAGCACUACUGCCAUAUACAAGUUCCUAUUGUCACGAUUUUUAUACAAACCUGAGACAUGGCAGCAGUAACGAUUACCCUGAGAUUGAUGAAUGUGAAUAAGAAAUACUUGAUGUAUUAUUUUUUUACAACUAAUAACUUAAUAAAAAAUAAGUUACAA